rnacentral:rRNA from 1 species
GACGAACGCUGGCGGCGUGCUUAACACAUGCAAGUCGAGCGGAGCGGCGAACGGGUGAGUAACGCGUGAGUAACUGCCCCCCUCUCUGUGAUAACAGUUGGCAACGGCUGCUAGUACCGGAUAGUGGUGGCUGAUGCGGGGCCUAUCGGCUUGUUGGUGGGGUAGUGGCCUGCCAGGGCGACGACUGGUAGCCGGCCUGAGGGGGCGACCGGGCACAUCGGGCUACGGUACGGCCCAAACUGCUACGGGGGGCAGCGGUGGGGAACAUUGCGCAAUGGGGGAAACGCUGAUGCAGAAACGCCGCGUGCGGGAUGACGGCCUUCGGGUUGUAAACCGCGUUAAGCCAUGACGCGGUAGUGGCAGAAGAAGCACCGGCUAACUACGUGCCAGCAGCCGCGGUAAUAC